rnacentral:rRNA from 1 species
GGACGAACGCUGGCGGCGUGCUUAACACAUGCAAGUCGAGCGGUAAGGCCCUUUCGGGGGUACACGAGCGGCGAACGGGUGAGUAACACGUGGGUGACCUGCCCUCAGCUCUGGGAUAAGCCUGGGAACCGGGUCUAAUACUGGAUAUGACUCCAUGACGCAUGUUGUGGGGUGGAAAGCCUUGUGCGGCUGAGGAUGGGCCCCGCGGCCCUAUCAGCUUGUUGGUGGGGUGANGGCCUACCAAGGCGACGACGGGUAGCCGGCCUGAGAGGGCGACCGGCCACACUGGGACUGAGACACGGCCCAGACUCCUACGGGAGGCAGCA